UUUGGCUAAUCCUGUGCUUAAAAUUUGCAAUCUGAUAGGUUUUGGGCACUGCAUAUGGGCUAAAGGCUGUGUUUGGAUUUGACUUACUUAGUUGCAUCUUUCUGACAGCAACUAAUGCUGUUUUGUUACCACUCAUUUCUUCUCUCGUAGAUAAUGGCAGUGCAAGAUUCCUAAGCGUUUGCUGGGCAAGCUUCAUACUACUUUCUUUUGUUAUUCGAAUGAUAAUAAGUCAAACUGAAAAUCCAUUAUCCUGGGUGCCAGAAGAGGUGACAAAAGAGGUGUCUGCAAAUAGUCAGUUUUCGAGUUUUGAGGGUCCUGGAUCAUUUAAGAGUAUCAAUGGAAAAAAAUG